AGUUACAGUUUGACCCACA
rnacentral:snRNA from 1 species